GUAAAACUGCAUAUUAUCACUGCUUUGUUUUUCUCUCCCAGUAAGAAUAUGCGUAAAUGGGAAGAAAUAUAUCUGCUUAUUAUAACCACUUUUUUUGGUCCCAACAAGAAUCUGCUUAUUAUAACCACUUUUUUUGUCCCAACAAGAAUAUGCAUAAAUGUGAAGAGAAUAUAGCUUACUGUAAUAUGUGCAAUCAUUGUUCCAUAUACAUUCACCUGCAUACCAAAGAUCUGACCCCAUAUCCAGCAUAGGUAAAUAUACCAAGAGCAAAUUCAUAGCUCAGCCACCUUCACGAGGAGACUACACGUCUUGUACACUUGAUCUGCUUGUAUCCUCAUCUUGAUAUUGCUGGGGGGAAAUAAUCAAGCGCAAUUUAGAUAAUGACGAAGUGCAGGUCUCUUGAUUUAUAAACAUUGUCUCAGCCUAAUAUAUCAUCCUGAUUUUUGUAUCCUUUGACACUUCAGAAGCAAAAAAGUUACAACCACUCAGAAUGUAGAGUGAAUAGUGAACCCAAGAAGUCAUUUCUCUCAUCAAGUUAAAUCAAUAGGCACGGAAACCACAUUGUAAAUUCUAGAAAUAGUUAUACCACAACCAGUAAGCUAAUAGAUUUAACUGAAAUGAACAACAAAAUCUGAAAAAUGAGAAGAUAUAUAUUUAUUUGUCAGACGAUUAUUGUGGAAACUGUUGGCACCACUCCCGUCAGCUCUAACUUUUCUUCUAACUGAUGCGCUUAGGUAAUGACGAAGUGCAGGUCCCUUUAGGAAAAUAAUCAAGCGCAAUUUAGAUAAUGACGAAGUGCGGGUCCCUUGAUUUAGAAACAUUGUCUCAGCCACGAAUGACAACCUUGAGAUCUAUGCAGAUUCUCUCAUGUUACAAGUGUGGAAAACCCACUUACAUAUUGUAAGCCAUGCCACUUGAAAUUUAAAACUACUAAGUGUAUUUUACUUCAAAGGUCUCAAGGUUGAACCCAGCCGUCUAAGAAUAUAAUGUACAGUAUUGUGAAGAUGGUGCUAUAUUAAUGAAGCUGAACCAAGCCGUCUUGCAAUCGCCACUGCACUUCCACAAGCACAAAACUAACUCAAGGUAUAAUCUAAACUAUACAACUACUGUGGCCUGACAAGAACGCAGCUUUCACUAUAAACUAUACAACUAUAUACACCACAGUUAGAACAUAGCACCUUUGCAAGAAAGCUCAGUACCAAUGUGUCCUGACAAUAAAGAUUGUAGUAAGUUCAUCCAGGGACUUCUACAUAAAAGCAAAACAAUAAUGGAACACUUUACGCGUCAGGCAGAAAAUAUAUAAAAACAAACGUGAUUUUGUUUUGACAAAAGAUGCCAUCCAGACCUGUUAAGUAAAAUUCUCUACAUAAACACAGCGCCUAAAAGAUGAAUGUUGGCCAAUUAAAACCCACGCUUCCGCCAAUGACAGCCGGAGCGCUUGGAAAUCCAUGCACAAAAGAAACCUCUGCCAUGGUACUGCACGAUGUCAACGAUGAGGUGGAGGUAAGUAUUAGGUAAUCAUACUUGUGUUAGCUUCAUAAUUAGUGAGCUCACAGAAUCAGGGAUAAAUCUAUAUUUUUUCUAAGAGAAAUCAAUCUAUAAAUCUGAAUGCUAUUUGCCACAAAGUGUAACUCUUACCAUAACAAUAUUGUACCUUUUUGAGAAAACAAAUUGGGGUACUAAUUAAUCAUGAGCAGAUCAAGUAAUUACUCGACAAUAUUAGUGGCCAUUCUUUUAAUCAACAUGUGCCUUUAAUUCCUCCACGGCAGCAUACAACCACCAUCGUGCUACAUGGGAUUUAACAACACUCCCGCAGAAAUUAGAGCAAAACAAAAAAAAGAACUAUGUUGCACAUACUUUCACCUCAUCUACUCGCUAGAAUAUCUAGAAUUUGGAGUGAUCAUAUACCUGGAGACAAAUAGUAUAACAUUGAUGGGGAUCCCUAACGUCGCGACCAAUCUGUUAUCCUCCAGCUUGAGACUACUUGUAAAGUAGCUUUCUAUACUAAAUCCCUCACCUGUAAUGAUAAAUGGUUGUAUUUGUAUUAUACAGAAAAUUUUGAUCUUUCAACAAAACAUGGGAAGGAAGAUAAGAACACUACACUAAUGGUGGCAAGGCUAGAGUGGUCAGUCAUAUGUAUAAAAACUUCAUCUACAAACAAGCCUGCUCUUGCCAACUUCACAUCUAAACAUCUCUGUAUGUGGGUGUAUCACAUCCAUGCCCCGUCAUAUCUUGAAUGGGAAGUCAUAUGGCCAGAGAUCAAAGGGAUCAACACCAAUGAGACCAAAAUUGUUGUACAAAAUAACAUUUGUAUUGACGAGCUCAGCUUGCAUAGAAAUAUAUGUAUACGGAUUUCAAAUAAAAAUAUAUAUUCAGAGUGCUUUUUUGGAUGAACUUUCAGAGUGAUUUUUAUGAAGACAUAAAUGAAAGCUUUGUACAGUAUAUUAGAACAUUUAAGUAAUAACAAUCUAAUGAUCAAAGGAAUAACAGCCAACCAUCUAUUUGGAAAAGAGCAAAGCCACCAUACAUUUGAUUCGUACAAUACACAGUAUUAUACGUAAACUCAUUUUUUGGGUAAACUAAAAGGCAAGUGAUCGAGAAGGCGAAUGAAGGGAAGAAUCAUACUUUGACGAGGAGCUCCCAUGAAUAUCCGUUGGCUUCCUCUUCGAAGCUCCCAUC
rnacentral:lncRNA from 1 species